UUCGUCCAGCGUGGCUCGCUGUCGCUGCUGCCUCUCCCUCGCCAGUCUCUGCUUCGCCGUGCUUGGUCUCCCUCUUCUCUGCCCGCGUUCCGCCUUCACAUCAUCAGGAUUGAUUUUGUUGCUGGGCUAUAUUGUUGCUCUUCUUCUCUGCCUCGGCCUCUGCCUCUGCCUCGUGCCUCCUCUGUCUCUGCUUCUGGCCCUAUCCACCUUGUGCCUCCUCUGACUUUGGUUCUGUGAUGGGAACACUGACAAUUUUAUUGAAACACUCUUCUACUUACAAGUCUCUCACAAAAUGCACAAACAUCUUCCUCUUAUUUCCUCUCUCCAAGAAGCAACACUCUAUUUACACUCUUCAUUUUCACCAAAGACCAUUGUGCCAUGGAUGCUAUCUUUCAAUGAAUGGCUGCAGAAAAGGACAUUCAAGAGAGCCUGUUGGGACAAUAGAGACACAAACGUUGGAACCGGUUGCAACAACUUCAAUGGCUUUGUACAGCCUGAAAAUGGCAAUUUCUAAGAUGAAAUCAGAGCCUCAAUUUCGGAGCUCUUCAGGCAUAGUGAGGCUGCAGGUCUCCAUUGAGGAGGAAGAGGUCGAGGCCAUUGAUUGGCUCCACUCACAGAACCACCUGCUCCUUCCUCGCUGCUUCUUCUCCGGCAGGGAACACAAUUCUUUUGAUUCUAAUGGCAGAAGCUUGGUUAGCGUUGCUGGUGUUGGCUCUGCCGUUUUCUUUUGCCAGCCACACCCGUUUUCCUAUUGGGAUUGGGUAUCCAUUAGGAGGUUUCUUUCCGAGAGCUGCCCAUUGAUUCGUGCAUACGGAGCCAUCCGAUUCGACGCAAAAGCUAAGUUGUCAGUAGAGUGGCUGCCUUUUGGUUCUUUCUACUUCAUGAUUCCUCAGGUUGAGUUUAAUGAGCUUGAAGGAGGAUCGAUGCUCACUACGACCAUUGCGUGGGACAAUACAAUUUCUUGGUCAUGGGAAGAUGCAAUCAAUGCUCUCCAAGACACCCUUAGCAAGGUUUCUGCUUCGAUUGUGAGGUUCCCAAAACAAGCUCCUCCAACAUUAAUAUUAAGUAGCCAUGAUAUUCCAAGUAAAAUAGAUUGGGAUAUUGCUGUUAACAGAGCUUUGGAGAUGAUAAAGAAAAACAACUCCUUACUAACCAAGGUUGUGCUAGCUCGUAGCACAAGAGUAGUGCCUACUACUAACAUUGAUCCGCUUACGUGGUUAGCUUGCUUAACGGUUGAGAGCGAAAAUGCAUACCAGUUUCUCCUUCAGCCGCCAGAUGCACCUGCAUUUAUUGGAAAUACACCAGAGCAACUAUUUCACAGAAAAUGGCUCCACAUUACUAGUGAGGCUUUGGCUGGAACUCGAGCUAGAGGAGUGUCGAUGGCAUUGGAUCGUCAAAUAGAACUCGACUUGCUUACAAGUCCAAAGGAUGAUAUUGAGUUCACCAUAGUAAGAGAUACCAUAAGAAGAAAAUUAGAGGGAGUGUGUGAAAAAGUUGUAAUCAAGCCAAAGAAAAUGAUAAGAAAGCUCCCUAGGAUCCAACAUUUAUUUGCUCAAUUAGCCGGCAGGUUAAGAAGUGAAGAAGACGAGUUUGAAGUUUUGUCAUCUCUUCACCCAAGUCCAGCAGUUUGUGGGUUUCCAACAGAAGAGGCACAACUUUUAAUUGCAAAAACAGGGCCUGAAAAUCCAUGCAAGCUAGCUUGUUGACAAUGGUGAUUGGUGGUCAUGCAUUUCACUCUAAUAUGACUGCAUAUUUUAUGCAACUAGAAAAUGUUGUGAUUUGGCAGAGUGAUUAUUAGAGGAAUCAGAGUUGUUGAUUAAUAUGAAUCAGUAAGUAUUUGAUAGAGGGAUGUAUGCCGGACCUGUUGGUUGGUUCGGCGGUGGAGAGAGCGAGUUUGCUGUUGGCAUCAGGUCAGCAUUGGUGGAAAAGGAUCAUGGUGUAUUGAUAUAUGCUGGAACAGGGAUAGUGGAAGGAAGCAAUCCUUACUUGGAGUGGGAUGAACUAGAACUCAAGACAUCUCAGUUCACCAAGUUGCUCAAACUUGACUUGCCUCUCAGACAAAAAGUAGACUGUAAAUGAGCUCCAUCAACUGAUUCGGUGGAGGCUUUGGACAAUACAAUAUAGAAUUUAUGUAUGUUACUUUAAAGACUCAAUUACUACUCUUAGUGUAGAUUCAACUACUUAUUAGUAUUCAUGGGUUGAAAAGCCAUGACAGCAAUUCUUUCUCCCGAAUACUUGUACUCUUUUGAGCAAAGAAAUAUAAAAAGAGAAACUUUUGGGUGCAGUAA